rnacentral:rRNA from 1 species
AUUGAACGCUGGCGGCAUGCUUUACACAUGCAAGUCGAACGGUAACAGGCCUUCGGGUGCUGACGAGUGGCGAACGGGUGAGUAAUGCAUCGGAACGUGCCCAGAGGUGGGGGAUAACGCAGCGAAAGCUGUGCUAAUACCGCAUGUGAUCUGAGGAUGAAAGCGGGGGACCAGGCAGCAAUGUUUGGCGUCGCGCCUUUGGAGCGGCCGAUGUCAGAUUAGGUAGUUGGUGGGGUAAAGGCCUACCAAGCCGACGAUCUGUAGCUGGUCUGAGAGGACGACCAGCCACACUGGGACUGAGACACGGCCCAGACUCCUACGGGAGGCAGCAGUGGGGAAUUUUGGACAAUGGGCGCAAGCCUGAUCCAGCAAUGCCGCGUGCGGGAAGAAGGCCUUCGGGUUGUAAACCGCUUUUGUACGGAACGAAAAGGCUCUGGCUAAUACCUGGGGCUGAUGACGGUACCGUAAGAAUAAGCACCGGCUAACUACGUG